rnacentral:misc_RNA from 1 species
AACGCACCAUGCGCUCCUUGGUAUUCCGAGGAGCAUGCCUGUUUGAGUGUCAUUUAACUCUCAACCUUUAUUAGCUUUUGCUGAUAAUGGCUUGGAUGUGGGGGUUUUAUUUGCCGGCUUCUUCAGAGGUCAGCUCCCCUUAAAUGCAUCAGCCGGUGCCCCGCGUGGAACUGUCUAUUGGUGUGAUAAUUAUCUACGCCGUGGAUGUCCGCAAAAUGGGUUUUGCACUGCUUCUAACCGUCUGUUAAUUUGGACAAUUCAUGACAAUUUGACCUCAAAUCAGGUAGGACUACCCGCUGAACUUAA